UCAAUUUCGAUUGUCAUAAAAAGGCUGGAGGGAUGUGGCUCCUUCGGGAGUGUUAUAACCUUUAGCGGAAUGUGGUGGUUGGGAUUGAGGAUUGCAACGAAUACCUUUAGGGCUGUUCCACCUGGCCUCUCUUUGGUAUCCUGGUGGCGACAGCUUGCUGACGUCGUUAGGAUCCGCCUUUGAACAGGUUAGAGUGUGAGCAAAUUCGUUAAGGAUGUUGACGUA
rnacentral:rRNA from 1 species